UCUAUAAUUGCUGUGUUUCACAACAGAUAUUGACAUCGUAAUGCUCUGUAUAAAAGGACCAAACUAGAAAGACCAACAUCAUUGACUAUUUUACCUUCACAUUUUCCUGACAUAUAACUUGCUGAUCUCUACCUGAGAAUCAUGUCUGGAGUUAAGGGAGGACAACAGAAGAAAUGCCAAGAACCAUGCCCAGAGCCAUGCCCUCCACCCCAGCAAUGCCACAAGCGUAAGUUGCUCCUCUUAUUGUACGUUCAGAUAAAUUGAAUGCAUAUUUGGAGAAAAGACAAUUAUAGCGCCCUGUCAUUUUUCUUUCCUCUGGUUUUCUUUGCCUUAUCCCCCCUGUAUUUUAAUGCUUAUACUCCCUCCCUUGCCACUUGUCAUAAUUUAUAUAUAUAUAAACUUUUCUUCCUUGUGGUGGAUCUCAAUAUCUGGGUGCAGCCAUUUUGUUCUCCUUGAUGCCUGCUGCCCUACUGUGAGAUUGAGUUUACUGAUGGAUUGUAAAUUUGAUUGGCUAAUUGAAACAGAAGCUUGCUUUAAGUCCUGCCAAUUGUCAACUUUUGUCAAGUUGACUUCUAUAGAUAAGGAAAUGUAGUCCUUAAUUAUAAUUAUGUAUUUUAUGAGAACCCGAGCACUCAAGAAAAACAUAAAGAGAGAUUCAGACCCAGGGGGCCAUUUAGCAGCAGCUUAGCUGUAGAAUAUUUUUUUUGUGGUAGAGAUGCUAUAUAGGGGAGUUUUCCUUGGCAUGAUCCCAUUUUCUUUCUUAAUAUUUUAUUUCUAUUUUCAUCUCCCUUUUGAAAAGCCAGUUUCCAAUUCAAGCUAAUUUACUGCCUGGGAGUAAGCCCCAUGAUUCUUUAAUAAUCAUAUUUUUUUCAAAGUCGCGACACAUUGGUAGAAUUUCACAGGAGCUAUUGCACGAAAAUAUAUCUAACAAGGAAGUUACUUUGUGAAAAGAGGGAAUGUGGCUAAAUGAAUAGGUUUAUGGAAAUAGAAUGCAUCUAUAUGUUCUUUAAAAUAUGGAGAUUUGCUAUACACUCAGACACACCAACCAUAUCGAGCUCCUGGGAAAGCUAAACAUUAGGAUAGAAAAGAUGGAUUUGGGGCAAAAUAGGGACUGUCCCUACUAAAAAGGGACACUUGGGAGGUAUGGAAUAUGACAUUGUUCCAAUAUACGCUAGAAUAACACAAAUCACUGUUUUAUUUCAGCUUCCAAGCCAGUGUGUCCUGAACCUGUGCAAAAAUGUCCACCUCCUCAAGGUAAAGACUAAUCCAUAAUUACAGUGCUAGCCAGUACGUGAAAAUGGCAUGAUGUGGUGAAUGUAUUUUUUGAGUGACCAUAUUGGUGCCAUUGCUCGGUGACAAUACUGGUCAGAGAAUUCAGGCUGCCUCAACUUGGAGACACUGUUAGAGUCAUCUUCUCUAAUCAGACAGAAAUACCUUCAUGUUUAUUCUUCUGAUAUUUUAUUUGGCUCACACAAUAAGUACAUUUAGCAAGAACAAAUCAAAUUGUGACAGAGCAAAGUAGACGGGAUUUCGUUAAUUUUAAGAAUUACUUUGUCUUCUCUUUUUAUUGAAGAUUGUUUCUCUUUUGUUUCAGUUUGUAAGCCAGUGUGCCCUGAACCAGUGCAAAAAUGCCCACCUAUUCAAGGUAAAGCAAAAUCCAGCCAUUAAAACAUAUACGCUUUAAAUGUGCCAUGUAUAGUAACACUUUGUGUGCCAGAGUUGUACCCAACGCAUUGCAAGGAGGUACAUGGACUCAUGGGAGUUUAAAUUAAUUUGUCUGCCUUGCCUCCACUGAAUGAUUCUCACCACAUGCAGAUUACUGAUUCCAAAUGUGCGACUCCUAGACCGUGGUUAGGCAACCUUCAGCACUCCAGAUGUUGUGGACUACAUCUCCCUUGAUGCUUUGCCAGCAUUACGGCUGUAAGAGCAUUAUGGGUGAUGUAGUGCACAACAUCUGGAGUUCUGAAGGUUGUCUACCAUUGUCCUAGAACAGCGAUAAGUAACCUUCGGCACUCCACAUGUUGUGGACUCCAUCCCCUAUAAUGCUCUUACAACCAUAUUGCUGGAAAAGCAUCAUGGUAGGUGUAGUCCAAAACAUCUUGAGUGCCGAAAGUUGCCUAUGCCUGUCCUAGAACAAGGGUCUGUAGUGAGUACAUCUGUCAUUACAAAAUGAUAAAGCUAUUCAGCUGUACCUAUGAAUGGAAUUUCUUUUAAUCAUGUAAUCAAACAAAUAUUUUACAUAAAUUAACACUCUAACACUUCACCAGUCACUGUGCAACAUCAGUCUCAUUCUUCUCAUAGAGGACCAUUGAAUCCAGGACUUGCAAAUAGUUUUUGAAACUUAGAGUGUCCGUUUAAUUCUACACAACUUGUCUGUGGAGGUGAAUUACUCAACGUCCGUGUAUCUUGCUGUUCCAAGUCCUUCCUUUGCCCCUCAAUUGGUCAAACACCCCAGGUUGUCUAUAACAUUUGUGCAUUUUGAACGUGGUUUAUUAGCUAAUCAAGUGUAGAUUGGACUAGCCGUAUUAGUCCAGUAGACAAAAAUCUGAGAAAGAGAGGAAAACUCUAGAAAGCUUGUCUUUAAAAUAUUAUGUUAGUCCAAUAAAAAUGGGAUCAUUGCAUACUGCAAUACUCUGGUAUUUUGGCAUCUUCGCUAAACAACAAAUAGUUGAGAAUUAAAACAGAACCUGCAAAAUGCAACCAAUAUAGCCAAGACUACAGUUGAGUGCAGAAUCUUUCCGAAUAGGCUAUUUUUGCCUUACUUUUGCAAUUUUGUUUCAAUUCACUACAAUUAAUGUUUAGUGAAUAAGCCCCUAAAUGUUUUAGCCAUGUAGUAACAGCAAUGUCUUUUAUUUUUUUCCUUAAAGAACCGUGCAAGCCAACCCAACAGUGCCCCCAGGACAAGCAAUGUGUGAAGAAAUGAUUGCAGCGUUUCAAAUCAUCUUUAUCAUUCAAAAGAACUAUUUCUCCAAAAAAGUACACACAUAUAUACAUUAAUUGUUUAAUUAUCAAUUAUAUACAAAACUGUAUAACUGCAUCUAUAGCAAUAUGCAUUGUUACCAAAAUGUUCUACUGUGUAUAAUAUUGUAUGCCCCUAAAUAAAGACAUGACUUCAAAAAAUAUCAAAUUUGUCGCUUUCACCAUUUUCUGAUUCAUAAAACUCACAUAUAGAUUGAAAUUCUAAACUGUUAGCAGAAAGGCUAUACUACCUAUGUUUAUUUAAUAACAAUUGUUUAAUAGAUGGUAACCAAAAUCAUAGUACAAAGAAUAUUUUAUGUAAGGUCUCUGCCUAGAAAAAUCUCCAUGUGAAUUGUCAGCGAGGAUUGUAACAAUCAUGGAGCAUGUAAGUGUGGGUAAUCCUGGAUUUGAACUUGGAGGGUUGACACAUGGAGUAAUGUUGUUAGAUGCACUGGACAAUAACAUAAGGGAAGCCAUGUUAGCUGUAACUCCUGAGCCUACAUGUAUCAGUGAUAUAUUGGUAAGGGCUCAUCAUUUGUGCAGUAAACAGAAAAGAGAAGCAAGCUGUACAAUUGAUGCAGCUAAAAUAUUCAGGAUACCAGGGCAAAGCAAAAAAAAACUUUUUAAAAACCCUUUUUAGAACUUAUGCACACUUUGGGGGGUUUGUUUUGCACUCUUUGGCUAUUGCUUUCUCAUUUUCUAGUUUAGCCAAUUUAGUCACUUUUUUGUAUUCAUUGUUGUUUUCCUUAUAUAAGUGUGUAUCAGAGCGUGUUUAACCCCUUAAGGACGGGGGACGUGCUAUGCCGUCCUUAGGGACCUGCCUCUAAAUGCCUGGGGGGCGGCCUAGCACGUCCUCACCGUCCUAUGUACUUACCCGGUCGCCAGCGAUCCCACGCUGGCGAUUGUGGUAUUGGGACUUUCCUGGGAGCCCAGGGAGUCCCCCUCCUUCCUCUUCGACCCCCCUGGGCCAUGUGAUCGCAAGGACCUUGCGAGGACCUCGCGAUCACAUGGACGGCUUAGCUGCCCAAGGCAUUUACGCAGGGGGAGUGCUUGUAAUGACAGGUACUCCCUUUGCUGCCUGAAAAUAAAAUAAAAACCAUUAAAACAGUGUAAAAAUAAAUAAUAUAUACUUUGAUCAUAUAUCUAUUUAUUAUAUAUAUAUGAUCUAAGUAUAUAUAUAUAUACACAUAUACACACAUACACAUAUACUAAGUGUAUUUUAAUAUUAAUAUAUAUAUAAUUAUAUAUAUAUUAAUAUCAAAAUACACAUACAAUGAUAUUGAUUAAAUAUAUAUAUAAUUAUCAUUAUAUAUAGUUAUAUAAUAUAAAAUAAAUAUAAAUGUAAAUACGUUAAAAAAUAAAAUAAAAAUAUGUAUAUAUAUGUGUAAUUUCAUUCCAACUGUAUUUUAAAAUUAAAAUAUAUAUAUUGAUAUCAAAAUCAAUGGUAUCCCAGGAAUGAGAAUUACCCCCAUGAUGGCAUACCAUUUGCAAGAGUAGACAACCCAAGGUAUUGCAAGUGGGGUAUGUCCAGUCUUUCUUAGUAGCCACUUAGUCACAAACACUGACCAAAAUUGGCAUUCAAAAUAGUUUUUUGCAUUUUUCACACAAACAAAUAUUAACACUGACUUUGGUCAGUGUUUGUGACCAAGUGGCUACUAAAAAAGACUGGAAAUACCCCAUUUGCAAUACCUUGGAUUGUCUACUUUUGCAAAUGGUAUGUCAUCAUGGAUGUAAUUCUCAUUCCUGGGCUACAAUACGGUCUCAAAGGCAACGUAACCAGUCUGGCGAAUUUCAAUGUGAAAAAACUGAAAAAUUUAACAUACUAUAUUUGACCCUGUAACUUCCCAAAACAUCAUAAAACAUGUACAUAGGGGGUACUGUUAUACACGUGAGACAUCGCUGAAUACAUAUAUGUGUAUUUUUCACAGUUAGAAUGUCACAUAGAACUAAACAUUUUUUUUUUUAAUUUUUUUUUUUUUAAUUUUUUUUAUAUUUUAUUCAUAUUAAAUUAUGUUUUAUACCUAAAUAUUUGAUGUUAAAUGAAAGCCCUGUUUCCCCAGAAUAAAAUUAUAUAUAAUAAGUGUGGGUGCGCAUAAUAUGAAAGAGACGAAUUAUGCCUGAAUAGACAUAUAGCGCAAAUUCAUGUUUUUGCUUACGUUUUGUUUUGAUCACAACGUGUACAUUUGGCUCAGUUCUUAAGGGGUUAAAGUGGCAUUGUAUGUGUUUGUGCAUACAUCUUAGCAUUUAUACGUCAACACUACAUACAAACACACCUCUGCAAUCAAAUGUUAACGAUAUAUAUUAACACACACUUACAUUCAAAAACCAACUCUGCAUGCAAACACACCCCUACAUUCACACACACAUACUCCAUACAGAAACUUGUUAACAUUCAAACACACAAACACUGCUCAGUGCUACAUACAACCCUGCAACUAUAAGCAAAUUAUAGAUCUCCAACUGUCGGAUCAUUGUCGGAGUAGUACCACAGUUGAGGAUCUAACUUUUGGCCACCCUUGCAAUAGAGGGGACCACAUGAAUUCUUAAAUCAGGGCCCUCUCUCUGUUAGUUCUGGUGUUGGUAUGGUAAGAGCAAACAGAUAUAUUAUAAUAUAUAAGUACGGCUUUCCAAAGGUAUUACAGAGAGCUAUAUAAUUUGUCAAAUAACCCGAAAGAGGAACAAAUAAAAGAGUAUCUAAAGAACAUAGACAUACUCAAAAUAACUAAAAUUCAAAUGGACAGAGUAAUGCACUUUUAAGAAAAAGUGAUUCUUAAAGCAAUAGACAAAUUGGUUAGCUGCAAAACCCCUGGACCAGAUGGUCCAACAAAUAGAUUAAAAAAAAUUAUAUAAACAUUAGAUAGCUGAACAUUAACAAAUUCCUACAAUGAGGUGGUGAGCAACGAAAGAAGUCUGAAAGAAUUAUUAAAAGCAAAUAUACUACCACUGCUUAAAAAAAUAAAAUUAAUGAAAAAUUCAGAAGAUGUCAGGAGCUGUAAUCCCAUUUCUUUAAUUAAUGUGGAUACAAAAUUAUUUUCUGCAAUAAUUGCGGAUAGAUUGAAACCGAUAUUGGAUAUAACACACCCCGUUCAAAUAGGUUUUGUCCCUUGAAGACAAGCCUGUUUUAUCUCUAGACGUUUGAUUGAUAUGAUGGAAUCCAGGAAAAAUAAAAAUACACCUCUUCUGAUCCUGUCGGUAUACGCAGAAAACGGAGUCCUAGCAUUUAGUAGAGCAGUCAGGGGUGCAGCAAAUGUAAAAUAAACAGUACAGACAAUAGCGUUGAGUGAACUGUUGUCCCUGUAACAAACUGUAGGGCCGUAUCAUUAGAAACUGGUGGCAAGAGGUGGAAUAACCUGUACCCCAGCAUCCCAAGAAAAGUAAGGAAAGACCAAGCAAGAUUGCGUUUUAAAGUGAGGAAUAGGUCACUGUUGAGGAGAAGGUACUCCUGCACCGCAGAACCAUGGACCUAUUCAAUAGUCAUAUAAAGAUCAUGGAGAAGUACUCGAUCAAGGAAGCAGAGACUGUGCACCAAUUAGCAAGCCGGAAGGCCUUUUUGGGAGGAAUGUUCGUACAAUGUCUUUUAAUGUACACUGUGAUCUAUGUCACCUGGAUCUUUAUACAAUAAACCGAGUCUGAAUUAUUUGGAGUUGCCAAUAAAGAAGCUGGGGUUGUCUCUUCCUUGAGGUCUCACAAGAUAUGGCUAUUCAUUGUCCUCUAUAGAGUAAUUAUUAAUAUAACUGGACAGAAGGGAAUUAACCUGAGGCACCGGACAAGAGCCCAAGAUCUAGAGAUGCCCAUAAGGUAGAUCCCCAAAUGUUUUAAAACUACAGCUUCCAUGAUGCUUUGUCACUCCAAAGCAUUCUAAAGGCAUGCAAAGCAUCACAGGAGUUGUAGUUCAACAACAUCUGGGCCUCUACCUUUCGGACACCCCUGAUCUAGAAAAUGUCACAGAACUCAUGACAGUUGAGUUGUAUGCUAGUAUACUAUUAUCAUGUCUCUUGAAAUAUUAGGCGACUUGGUGGGUAGAGACAGAACAGCCAUUCAAUAUUCCUCGUAUUAACUCCUUAUCUUGUAGAUAAGUCAUUAUAGUGUUCAAAGCAGCCACUGACCUUCCUAUUUGUUGUAAGGAUGUCCUGGGGUCACUCCUCUACCAAAUCUGCAUUGCACGUGGUGGGGGCUGAACGACCAUGGCUCCCUCUUUGUUUGUUUUUUUAAUUUGCUUACUAAAACCAUCAAAACUCAUUCACUUAACCUCUUAAGGAUGGCAGGGAUUCUAUAACGUCCUUAAGGGUCCGGUCAUAGUCACAAACAGUGGCCAAAAUAAGACUGGACAUACCCCAUUUGCAAUACCUUUGGUUGUUUACUUUUGCAAAUGGUAUGCCAUCAUAGGGGAAAAUCUAAUUCAUUGGCUACGAUACGGUCUCAAAGCAAAAUAACCAAACUGGCAAAUUUCUACGUGCAUGCACUGAAAAAUAGAACGUGCUAUAUUUGACCCUGUAACUUUACAAAACACCAUCGAACCUGUACAUAGGGGGUACAGUUGUACUCGUGAGACAUCGCUGAAUACAAAUGUGUAUUUUAUUGCAGUAAAAGCAAAGAGUAUUAUGACUUUUCUCACAUUUUUGGAAGAUUUUAUUCAUAUUAAAUUAUGUUUUACACAUGAAUAUUUGAUGGGAAAUUAAAUUACAUAUAAUACAUGUAGAUGUACUUCAUAUGAAAGAGGUGACUUAUGGUUGAACAGACAUAUAGUCAAAAUCCAGGUUUUGUUUUGAUCAGAACGUGUAAAAUUUCCUAAUAGGUUAAUAUACAAUCCGUUCUUUAUUUUUCGAGGAACUCUAUGGUUGAGGGGCUCUAGUAAAAGCUCUAAAACCCCUGGGUGGAAUCCCCCAAAACCACAUCCAAAGAUCAAUAAAUCAUACAAACAUUAGGUGGAGCAUUAGAGUUGAAAUUAUAACAUAAAUCUGUAAAAAGCAGAGAAAAUGCAAAAAUAGUGCAAUAUUGUCUAUACAAAUGUUACAUUGGCCAAUAGUAGUAAGAAUAACAUUCACAAACGCAGAGCCAAUAACUAACAUGUGGCUCAAAUGCUAGGUGUCCCAAUCCUUCUUCUCUUUGAUUUCACGUCACUACAAAGGAGAGAGAAGUGUCAUAGCACAUGUCAGGAACAUUCGUGGAUCCUACACGCAGAAUGCAAAUACUAGUAAUGUAAUGGACCUUACGAUGGCUGGACUAACACUACAUGCACAAAGAAUAGUCAAAUAGCGAGCCGAGGUCAGGGGAAAUCAGGACCAACAAUUAUGCAUUAGCUGAGAUCAAAGGAACACAGAAGGAGGAAUAGUCAAACGAAGCCAAAGUCAGAAUACAAGAAUACCAAUAUGGAAUACGCACUCCUGGGUCAAACAAGAACCACAACAGGGCAAUGAGUCUCUCUCUGGUUUCUCUUUAAAUGCCGUGUUCAGUUAGGUAGGUAACCACGCCCCCAAAAUGUUCUCGUUCGAACACCUUGGCGGGCCGUGACAUUCUUAGCUUUAUCACUUUUGUGACGCCAGCCUGUGACAUGCCCCUGACUUAUACACAAGGUAACCUGACAGUAACCCCUCCUCAAGGACCGACCACCAGGCGUGAAGAGCCAGGGUGGUUAGGAAACCGAGAGUGGAAUGAACGGACCAAGCGAGGAGCAUGAAUGUCAGAACCAGUCACCCAGGACCUGUCUUCAGGACUGUAUCCCUUCCAGUCCACCAAGUACUGGAUAGUACCCCUAGAAAUCCAUGAGUCCAGGAUAGCACUGACCUCAAAUUCCUCCUGGUCCUCCGCCUGAACCGGAGAACAGGGUACCAGAGGACUACUGAACCUGUUACAUGUCAAGGCUUUCAAUAAGGAUACGUGUAAGACAUUGGGUAUGUGAAAGGAAUGAGGCAAUUAAAUACAAUACGCCACAGUUGACCUGUCUAGCCACAUUAUAUGGACCAAUGAACCUUGGUGCAAAUUUCAUAGAUGGGACUUUAAGGCAGAUAUGUUUAGUACUCAACCAGGCCUUAUCACCUGGGUAAUAUACAGGGGUAUCAAGUCUAUGCCUAUCUGCAUGUUUUUUAUCAAGAGACAAUUUAUGAGCCAGCAGUUGUUGAACUUGCCCCCAGACUUUCUUUAGAUUUUCACCAUGUUGAUCCACCAUUGCCAGUCCCCGUGAAGGAAAUGCCGAUGGAAGGACCACAGGGUAAAAACCAUAGUUGAAGAAGGGGCUUUGUUGAGUCGCAUCAGAAAUCGCAUUAUUUAGAGCAAACUCAGCCCAAGGAAGCAAGCCAACCCAAUCAUCUUGGUGAGAAGAGACAAAACAACCUAAAUAUUGUUCUACUCUUUGAUUAAACCUUUCUGCUGCCCCUUUAGUUUGCGGAUGAUAAGCAGACGAGAAUUUAAGUGAAAUUCCCUUCUGUGAACAAAAUUCUCUCCAGAAUUUGGACACAAAUUAAGAACCUCUGUCAGAGAUAAUUUCUUGGGGUAUCCCAUGUAUGCGGAAUACCUCUUUAGCAAAUACUUUAGCCAAUCAAGGAGAGGAAGGCAACUUAGGUAACGGAAUGAAGUGUGCCAUUUUCGUUAAUCUUUCCACUACUGUUAGAAUAACUGUCAUUCUCUCAGACAUAGGCAAUUCAACUAUGAAAUCCAUGGCAAUGCUUGCCCAAGGUUUAUUGUCGAUAGGUUGCAGUAACCCACAAGGGAGACUAUGAAACAGUUUGGUUCUGUUACAUAUGCAGCAAGCGGAAACAUAAUCUGUGAUGUCUUUACGCAUAGUCGACCACCAGUAUUCGUUCAAAAUCAAAUUGAAAAUUUUGCGUAUAUCUAAGUGACCUGUGAUUCUACUAUCAUGGAAACAAAACAAUAACUCAGGAAGAUUCUUAGAAGCUAGGUUUUGUUUGAAAUAAAUGUCCGAAACCAGUGAAGACUGUAUAUUUAUUCUAGUAUUAGCAAUAAUACUUUGCUGAGGAACAAUAGAAGUCAUACUAAUUUCAGGACAUGCAAGAGGUUCAAACUGUCUGGACAAUGAAUAAGCCUUGGAGUUUUUCGACCCAGGUCUAUAUGUCAGCACAUAGUUACACCUGGUCAAGAAAAGAGACCAACAAGCUUGGCUGGAAGACAGAUGUUUGGCCUCUCUAAUAUAGGAGAGGUUCUUGUGGUCUGUAAGUAUAGUUAUUGGAAUUGGAGUACCUUCUUAAAGAUGUCACUAUUCCUUCAAUGCCAAAAUAAUAGCACGGAGUUCCUUAUCUCCAAUAUCAUACCCCCUCUCAGUGUCAGAUAGUUUUUUUUAAAUAAAAUCCACAGGGAUGGAGAGGUUGAUCAGGUUCUUUACGCUGAGACAGCACUGUUCCUAUAAAAGUCUCUGAUGCAUCGACUUCUAACAGAAAUGGAAGACUAAGAUUAGGAUGGACUAGAAUUGGGGCGGAAGGAAAAGGACCUGUAACGGAGCUUCCCGUACUCCGACCGAGUACCCUCCGUUGAUGGGCGCUUCCUAGCUUGCGCUGAGAACCACAAGCACUGCACCAGUGACGACAACCACGGCAGACUCCACAACCGCUGUAGCUUAACUGGAGUCUCGCCGUCUUCCUUCCACCCUGGAUCAGCUUCUGUCCUCCAGGACCAUGUGGGGAAGACCUCUCCUCCAAGGAGAGCGUGUCAGGAACAAGCUCUUAAAAGAGCUAAGUGAUGCAAGUUCAGGGGAGCAUGCAGAGUAUAGCAAUCCUGUGUGUGGGGGAGUAGGGGUGCUGUGUGUGGGGGUGGGGGUGGGUGGGGUAGGGUGCUAUGUGUGGGGAGGGUGUGUGGUGCUGUGGGGGUGUAUAUGUGUGGGGGUAGUGGUGCUGUGUGUGUAGGGGUGCUGUGUGUGUGGGGUAGGGGUGCUGUGUGUGUGUGGGGGGGUAGUGGUGCUGUGUGUGUAGGGGUGCUGUGUGUGGGGAGUAGGGGGUGCUGUGUGUGUGUGGGGGGUGUGCGGUGCUGCUGUGUGGGGGGGGUAGGGGUUAAAGAUACAUUAAAAACACUUUUUUAAAAAAGCAUAUUGAAUCAGUAUCCCCCCUCCCUUCUUCUUACCUUUGGGAGGGGGGGAACACAGCCAUCCCUGGUGGUCUGGUGGUGGUAAGUAUGUAGGAAAGGAGGACAGGUCCUGCAGCUUUCCUGUCCUCCCGCGCAAUGCUGUGUGGAGCGUUGCCAUAGUAACGUGCGGCACCGCUCCACACAGCUCGCAGGAGGAUAGGAGAGCUGCUUCCUAGAUGCCUCCCCCCUGCUUCCGUUCCUGCCGACAAGAAAGUAGAGUAGGCACAUGCUCGAACAAUCGCCGCUGGAAUGUGGGAACUAAUGUGUGAAUUGUGAAGAACUGAAAGUUAAUAUGAAACAAAUUUUAAAUUGUAGAGCACAACAUCUGAACUGAAAUAUGAAGAAUUUUUCCAAUUCAGAUAUUUUGGAUUCAAAUUUUAGAUUCACUUUCAAUUCACAUCAUCAAUUCAUAUUUAAUCAAUAACUAUGUCAGUGAUUUUGCAGUUUAUAAUUUUAACUAACUCAGAAAUAGUUACAGUUUCUUUUACUAAAAACAAUAAGAAUAUAAAAGGAUCUAUAACAAUGACAGCAAAUUAACAAAACCGAAAAUACCUUUGGAGUGUGUAAAUACUACAAUGAUUAAACAGGCGUUUUCUCUCUGUAAUUUUAUUAUCUAUUCUUACCAUAAUUAUGUGCUACACAAAACAAAUUCAGGAAGAAUAUUUCAGAAACUAUUAGCAUCGACUCAUCGUUUUAAGGUAGACAAAGGUAUAUGCAAAUACACAAGCUGAAUUUCUCAACGAUACUGGGGUCUCUGAGUAAUGGAGGUGACUCUAUCUAUAAUUGCUGUGUUUCACAACAGAUAUUGACAUCGCAAUGCUCUGUAUAAAAGGACCAAGUUAGAAAGACCAACAUCAUUGACUAUUUUACCUUCACAUUUUCCUGACAUAUAACUUGCUGAUCUCUACCUGAGAAUCAUGUCUGGAGUUAAGGGAGGACAACAGAAGAAAUGCCAAGAACCAUGCCCAGAGCCAUGUCCUCCACCCCAGCAAUGCCACAAGCGUAAGUUGCUCCUCUUAUUGUACGUUCAGAUAAAUUGAAUGUAUAGUUGGAGAAAAGACAAUUAUAGUUCCCUGUCAUUUUUCUUUCCUCUGGUUUUCUUUGCCUUAUCCCCCCUGUAUUUUAAUGCUUAUACUCCCUCUCUUGCCAUUUGUCAUAAUUUAUAUAUAUAUAAACUUUUCUUCCUUGUGGUGGAUCUCAAUAUCUGGGUGCAGCCAUUUUGUUCUCCUUUGCCAUGAUGCCUGCUGCCCUACUGUGAGAUUGAGUUUACUGAUGGAUUGUGGGUAAAUUUGAUUGGCUAAUUGAAACAGAAGCUUGCUUUAAGCCCUGCCAAUUGUCAACUUUUGUCAAGUUGACUUCUAUAGAUAAGGAAACGUAGUCCCUAGUUUUAAUUAUGUAUUUUAUGAAAACCCGAGCACUCAAGAAAAAACAUAAAGAGCGAUUCAGACCCAGGGGGCCAUUUAGCUGCAGCUUAGCUAUAUGCUAUUUUUUUUAGUGAUAAAGAUGCUUUAAAGGGGAGUUUUCAUUGGCAUGAUCCCAUUUUCUAUCUUAAUAUUGUAUUUAUAUUUUCAUCUUCAUUUUGAAAAGAAAAACAGUUUCCAAUUCAAGCUUAUUUACUGCCUGGGAGUAAGCCCCAUGAUUCUUUAAUAAUCGUAUUUUCUCCAAGUCGUGACACAUUGGUGGAAUUUCACAGAAGCUAUUGCACCAUUAAACAAACAUUUCAAAGCUGUGCAAAAUGGAAAGCCAUUCUAAAUUGGAGACAAAUAAUAAGAUGACAGUGAUUGGCUAUGGGGUGGAGGUAUGCCAGCAGCUCAGAUCUUAAAGGAACACUAUAGUCACCUAAAUUACUUUAGCUAAAUAAAGCAGUUUUAGUGUAUAGAUCAUUCCCCUGCAAUUUCACUGCUCAAUUCACUGUCAUUUAGGAGUUAAAUCACUUUGUUUCUGUUUAUGCAGCCCUAGCCACACCUCCCCUGGCUAUGAUUGACAGAGCCUGCAUGAAAAAAAACUGGUUUCACUUUAAAACAGAUGUAAUUUACCUUAAAUAAUUGUAUCUCAAUCUCUAAAUUGAACUUUAAUCACAUACAGGAGGCUCUUGCAGGGUCUAGCAAGCUAUUAACAUAGCAGGGGAUAAGAAAAUCUUAAUUAAAUAGAACUUGCAAUAAAGAAAGCCUAAAUAGGGCUCUCUUUACAGGAAGUGUUUAUGGAAGGCUGUGCAAGUCACAUGCAGGGAGGUGUGACUAGGGUUCAUAAACAAAGGGAUUUAACUCCUAAAUGGCAGAGGAUUGAGCAGUGAGGCUGCAGGGGCAUGUUCUAUACACCAAAACUGCUUCAUUAAGCUAAAGUUCUUAAGAUGACUCUAGUGUCCCUUUAAUGAAAAUAUAUCUAACAAGGAAGUUACUUUGUAAAAAGAGGGAAUGUGGCUAAUAGGUUUAUGUAAAUAUAAUGCAUCCAUAUGUGUGUGCUUUAAAAUAUGCAUACUUCCCAACAUUUCAAAAGGACAAACAAUUUCAUUUUUGGGGUGGGAGUGGGGUGUGACCAGUGGCGGUCUGUUCUAAGAUAUUUUAGGUGAUUUUCUAAUAAUAAUUUAUAGAAUUAAAAUGUAAUUUAGAACAAAAACAGUGUACCUUAUUUACACAGACUUAUUUCAAAACACAUUACUUGUAGUUUAAAGACACAUUACUAGGAGUAUUAUUGCUGCGGAGAUCUGCUAUACACUCAGACACACCAACAAUAUCGAGCUCCUGGGAAAGCUACACAUUAGGAUAGAAAAGAUAGAUUUCUGCCAAAAUAGGGACUGUCCCUACUAAAAAGGGACACUUGGGAGGUAUGGAAUAUGACAUUGUUCCAAUAUACGCUAGAAUAACACAAAUCACUGUUUUAUUUCAGCUUCCAAGCCAGUGUGUCCUGAACCUGUGCAAAAAUGUCCACCUCCUCAAGGUAAAGACUAAUCCAUAAUUACAGUGCUAGCCAGUACGUGAAAAUGGCAUGAUGUGGUGAAUGUAUUUUUUGAGUGACCAUAUUGGUGCCAUUGCUCGGUGACAAUACUGGUCAGAGAAUUCAGGCUGCCUCAACUUGGAGACACUGUUAGAGUCAUCUUCUCUAAUCAGACAGAAAUACCUUGAUGUUUAUUCUUCUGAUAUUUUAUUUGGCUCACACAAUAAGUACAUUUAACAAGAACAAAUCAAAUUGUGACACUGCAAAGUAGACGGGAUUUCAUUAAGUUAAAGAAUUACUUUGUCUUCUCUUUUUAUUGAAGAUUGUUUCUCUUUUGUUUCAGUUUGUAAGCCAGUGUGCCCUGAACCAGUGCAAAAAUGCCCACCUAUUCAAGGUAAAGCAAAAUCCAGCCAUUAAAACAUAUACACUUUAAAUGUGCCAUGUAUAGUAACACUUUGUGUGCCAGAGUUGUACCCAACGCAUUGCAAGGAGGUACAUGGACUCAUGGGAGUUUAAAUUAAUUUGUGUGCCUUGCCUCCACUGAAUGAUUCUCACCACAUGCAGAUUACUGAUUCCAGAUGUGCAACUCCUAGACCGUGGUUAGGCAACCUUCAGCACUCCAGAUGUUGUGGACUACAUCUCCCUUGAUGCUUUGCCAGCAUUACGGCUGUAAGAGCAUUAUGGGUGAUGUAGUGCACAACAUCUGGAGUUCUGAAGGUUGUCUACCAUUGUCCUAGAACAGCGAUAAGCAACCUUCGGCACUCCACAUGUUGUGGACUCCAUCCCCUAUAAUGCUCUUACACCCAUAUUGCUGGCAAAGCAUCAUGGUAGGUGUAGUCCAAAACAUCUUGAGUGCCGAAAGUUGCCUAUGCCUGUCCUGGAACAAGGGUCUGUAGUGAGUACAUCUGUCAUUACAAAAUGAUACAACUAUUCAGCUGUACCUAUGAAUGGAAUUUCUUUUAAUCAUUUAAUCAAACAAAUAUUUUACAUAAAUUAACACUCUAACACGUCACCAGUCACUGUGCAACAUCAAUCUCAUUCUUCUCAUAGAGGACCAUUGAAUCCGGGACUUGCAAAUAGUUUUUGAAGCUUAGAGUAUCCGUUUAAUUCUACACAACUUGUCUGUGGAGGUGAAUUACUCAACGUCCGUGUAUCUUGCUGUUCCAAGUCCUUCCUUUGCCCCUCAAUUGGUCUAACACCCCAGGUUGUCUAUAACAUUUGUGCAUUUUUAAAGUGGUUUAUUUGCUAAACAAGUGUAGAUUGGACUAGCCGUAUUAGUCCAGUAGACAAAAAUCUGAGAAAGAGAGGAAAACUCUCGAAAGCUUGUCUUUAAAAUAUUAUGAUAGUCCAAUAAAAAAGGGAACAUUGCAUACUGCAAUACUCUGGAUAUUUUGCAUCUUCGCUAAACAACAAAUAGUUGAGAAUUAAAACAGAACCUGCAAAAUUCAACCAAUAUAGCCAAGACUACAGUUGGGUGCAGAAUCUUUCCGAAUAAGCUAUUUUUGCCUUACUUUUGCAAUUUUGUUUCAAUUCACUACAAUUAAUGUUUAGUGAAUAAGCCCCUAAAUGUUUUAGCCAUGUAGUAACAGCAAUGUCUUUUAUUUGUUCCUUAAAGAACCGUGCAAGCCAAUCCAACAGUGCCCCCAGGACAAGCAAUGCGUGAAGAAAUGAUUGCAGCGUUUCAAAUCAUCUUUAUCAUUCAAAAGAAAUAUUUCUCAAAAAAAUACACAGAUAUACAUUAAUUGUUUAAUUAUCAAUUAUAUACAAAACUGUAUAACUGCAUCUAUAGCAAUAUGCAUUGUUACCAAAAUGUUCUACUGUGUAUAAUAUUGUAUGCCCCUAAAUAAAGACAUGACUUCAAAAAACAUCAAAUUUGUCGCUUUCACCAUUUUCUGAUUCAUAAAACUCACAUUUAGAUUGAAAUUCUAAACUGUUAGCAGAAAGGC